GACGAACGCUGGCGGCGUGCCUAAUACAUGCAAGUAGAACGCACAGUUUAUGCCGUAGCUUGCUACACCAUAGACUGUGAGUUGCGAACGGGUGAGUAACGCGUAGGUAACCUGCCUGGUAGCGGGGGAUAACUAUUGGAAACGAUAGCUAAUACCGCAUAAUAUUAAUUAUUGCAUGAUAAUUAAUUGAAAGGUGCAAUUGCACCACUACCAGAUGGACCUGCGUUGUAUUAGCUAGUGGGUGAGGUAACGGCUCACCUAGGCGACGAUACAUAGCCGACCUGAGAGGGUGAUCGGCCACACUGGGACUGAGACACGGCCCAGACUCCUACGGGAGGCAGCAGUAGGGAAUCUUCGGCAAUGGACGAAAGUCUGACCGAGCAACGCCGCGUGAGUGAAGAAGGUUUUCGGAUCGUAAAGCUCUGUUGUAAGAGAAGAACGGGUGUGAGAGUGGAAAGUUCACACUGUGACGGUAUCUUACCAGAAAGGGACGGCUAACUACGUG
rnacentral:rRNA from 1 species